GACGAAAUAUCAUGGGUGGGCCGGGAACAGAUGCAAUCGAACGAAGGAAGCCGUCGGGGUGGUAUUAGUGGGUAACGGUUGAAUAGCGACUUGGGCGAAUCUGCUCUUCACUCUGGGACAAGCCCUGGAAACGGGGUCUAAUACCGGAUAAAACCGGCUUCCGCUUGGGGAGCUUGGUUGAAAGCUCCGUGCGGUGAUGGAUGAGCCCGCGCCCUAUCAGCUUGUUGGUGAGGUUAAUGGCCUACCAAGGCAACAAGGGGUAGCCGGGCGUGAUAGGGCGAACAGGCCCCACUGGGACUGAGACACGGGCCAAAUUCCUACGGUGAAGGUGCAGUGGGUAAUAUUGCACAAUGGGCGAAAGCUUAUCGAGCGACCCCGUUGAGGGAUUAAGGCCUUCCGGUUUUUACCUUCUUUCACCAUUGGAAAAAGCGAAAUUAACGUGUUCUUGCAAGAAAAAAGCGCCGGUUAGAAUUACUUCCCAACAGCCCGCGGGU
rnacentral:rRNA from 1 species